UGCUUAUGAUGAAUAUUUAAAAAAAGAAAUAAGAGUAGUGGACAGGAGUAAUUUCUGAGAACCCAUUUUCUGAGGCA
rnacentral:snoRNA from 1 species